CACGUAGGGUGCGAGCGUUGUCCGGAAUUAUUGGGCGUAAAGAGCUCGUAGGCGGUGUGUCGCGUCGGCCGUGAAAACCUGCAGCUUAACUGUGGGCUUGCGGUCGAUACGGGCAUCACUGGAGUUCGGCAGGGGAGACUGGAAUUCCUGGUGUAGCGGUGAAAUGCGCAGAUAUCAGGAGGAACACCGGUGGCGAGGGCGGGUCUCUGGGCCGAUACUGACGCUGAGGAGCGAAAGCGUGGGGAGCGAACAGG
rnacentral:rRNA from 1 species